rnacentral:ribozyme from 1 species
CAUAUAAAUAUAACUAUGUAUUUAUGUAGAAGAAAAUAGGAACGGAAAAAGAAAAGAAGGAAGAGUGAAGUAUGUUUUUUUGUUUGUUUCUCCCUUU